rnacentral:rRNA from 1 species
UCUGUAAGCCUGCGAAGGUGUGCUGUGAGGCAUGCUGGAGGUAUCAGAAGUGCGAAUGCUGACAUAAGUAACGAUAAAGCGGGUGAAAAGCCCGCUCGCCGGAAGACCAAGGGUUCCUGUCCAACGUUAAUCGGGGCAGGGUGAGUCGACCCCUAAGGCGAGGCCGAAAGGCGUAGUCGAUGGGAAACAGGUUAAUAUUCCUGUACUUGGUGUUACUGCGAAGGGGGGACGGAGAAGGCUAUGUUGGCCGGGCGACGGUUGUCCCGGUUUAAGCGUGUAGGCUGGUUUUCCAGGCAAAUCCGGAAAAUCAAGGCUGAGGCGUGAUGACGAGGCACUACGGUGCUGAAGCAACAAAUGCCCUGCUUCCAGGAAAAGCCUCUAAGCAUCAGGUAACAUCAAAUCGUACCCCAAACCGACACAGGUGGUCAGGUAGAGAAUACCAAGGCGCUUGAGAGAACUCGGGUGAAGGAACUAGGCAAAAUGGUGCCGUAACUUCGGGAGAAGGCACGCUGAUAUGUAGGUGAAGUCCCUUGCGGAUGGAGCUGAAAUCAGUCGAAGAUACCAGCUGGCUGCAACUGUUUAUUAAAAACACAGCACUGUGCAAACACGAAAGUGGACGUAUACGGUGUGACGCCUGCCCGGUGCCGGAAGGUUAAUUGAUGGGGUCAGCGCAAGCGAAGCUCUUGAUCGAAGCCCCGGUAAACGGCGGCCGUAACUAUAACGGUCCUAAGGUAGCGAAAUUCCUUGUCGGGUAAGUUCCGACCUGCACGAAUGGCGUAAUGAUGGCCAGGCUGUCUCCACCCGAGACUCAGUGAAAUUGAACUCGCUGUGAAGAUGCAGUGUACCCGCGGCAAGACGGAAAGACCCCGUGAACCUUUACUAUAGCUUGACACUGAACAUUGAGCCUUGAUGUGUAGGAUAGGUGGGAGGCUUGGAAGUGUGGACGCCAGUCUGCAUGGAGCCGACCUUGAAAUACCACCCUUUAAUGUUUGAUGUUCUAACGUUGACCCGUAAUCCGGGUUGCGGACAGUGUCUGGUGGGUAGUUUGACUGGGGCGGUCUCCUCCUAAAGAGUAACGGAGGAGCACGAAGGUUGGCUAAUCCUGGUCGGACAUCAGGAGGUUAGUGCAAUGGCAUAAGCCAGCUUGACUGCGAGCGUGACGGCGCGAGCAGGUGCGAAAGCAGGUCAUAGUGAUCCGGUGGUUCUGAAUGGAAGGGCCAUCGCUCAACGGAUAAAAGGUACUCCGGGGAUAACAGGCUGAUACCGCCCAAGAGUUCAUAUCGACGGCGGUGUUUGGCACCUCGAUGUCGGCUCAUCACAUCCUGGGGCUGAAGUAGGUCCCAAGGGUAUGGCUGUUCGCCAUUUAAAGUGGUACGCGAGCUGGGUUUAGAACGUCGUGAGACAGUUCGGUCCCUAUCUGCCGUGGGCGCUGGAGAACUGAGGGGGGCUGCUCCUAGUACGAGAGGACCGGAGUGGACGCAUCACUGGUGUUCGGGUUGUCAUGCCAAUGGCACUGCCCGGUAGCUAAAUGCGGAAGAGAUAAGUGCUGAAAGCAUCUAAGCACGAAACUUGCCCCGAGAUGAGUUCUCCCUGACUCCUUGAGAGUCCUGAAGGAACGUUGAAGACGACGACGUUGAUAGGCCGGGUGUGUAAGCGCAGCGAUGCGUUGAGCUAACCGGUACUAAUGAACCGUGAGGCUUAACCUU